UGGGGAAUAUUGGACAAUGGGCGAAAGCCUGAUCCAGCAAUACCGCGUGAAUGAAGAAGGCCUUAGGGUUGUAAAGUUCUUUUAGUUGGGAAGAUAAUGACGGUACUAACAGAAAAAGCCCCGGCUAACUCCGUGCCAGCAGCCGCGGUAAGACGGAGGGGGCUAGCGUUGUUCGGAAUUACUGGGCGUAAAGGGCGCGUAGGCGGAUUAGUAAGUUGGAAGUGAAAUCCCAAGGCUUAACCUUGGAACUGCUUUCAAAACUGCUACAUCUAGAGUAGAGUAGGGGAUAAUGGAAUUCCUAGUGUAGAGGUGAAAUUCUUAGAUAUUAGGAGGAACACCGGUGGCGAAGGCGGUUAUCUGGACUUUUACUGACGCUGAGGCGCGAAAGCGUGGGGAGCAA
rnacentral:rRNA from 1 species